AAAUAGGUUAAGAAAACUAUUAGUUUGACUCUCAAAAAAUAACUUUUCCAUCUUUUUUUUCUAUUAUUUUCCUGCUUAUUAGUUAGGGCUGCCUGAAUUUUCAGCCCUAUACUAGUUGGAAUCUCAACAUUCCACCCUAAACUUUUAGCCACUUGAAAAACCAUCAUAAACAAUUUUAAUCUCGAUAAAACUACAUGUACUUUCGGAUUUGUUCUUAAAACUACGCCUCCAAUUGAACCGACCAGUUAACCGAUAAUUAUACAUCCGGUUUGACUUACCCAUAAUUUAACCAAAACUAAUCCGAUUUUGACUCUAUUUUAACCCAAUUUAUACCCAAAAAAUAUAUUCUCUAGAAGAAAAAUACUUUUUAUUUAUU
rnacentral:sRNA from 1 species